UCAUGUAUUUUAGUUAUCGAUUCAAAGGUUUGGUCCAAUGGGAUUUUAAAGCUUUUAAUUUAAAAAAAAAAAUUUUUUUUUGCUGAUUAUUGUGUUCAAUCUUGUUAUUUGAUGGAUUGAGUUGAAAAAUUACUGGGUAAAAUAGCUCCCCAAUUGUUUGUAAAAAGUACCCAUUGAUUUCGCUGCUGUUCGGAGUUGAGUUGAUCAUGACUGAAAGAAAAACCCCAUUUUGAUAUUGAGACUUCAGCACUGUGUCCUUUGGGGAGGAAAUAGAGAGUAAUAAAUGGGAAACGUCUGUGUUGGAUCAAGGUUUUCGAAGGAUGGUUUCUUUCAAUCCAUUUCGCAUUCGUUGUGGUCGCGAUCCCCAGAUAUGAUUCCCUAUACUAAGAGAGAAAUUACUAGUAGUGAGGUGCCUUCAUUAGCUAAAGACCCUGAUGGUUCUCAAUCUGUCCAAAACAAGCCCCCACAAUUGGUGAAGAUAGUAAAAGAAGAGACUAAACAAGAAGAACUCAUAAUAUCAGAACCAGUGAAGAUAGUGAAGGAAGAGAUCAAACCAGCAAAACCCACAAUACCAGAGCCGGUGAAAACGGUAAAGGAAGAGACCAAACCAGCACAACCCACAAGGCCCAGGAAGGCACACAAUGUCAAGAGGAUGGCGAGUGCAGGGUUGCAAGCAGAGUCUCUGUUGAAAACAAAAACAGGUCAUCUGAAGGAAUUUUACAAUUUGGGGCAAAAACUAGGACAUGGGCAAUUUGGGACUACAUUUCUCUGUGUGGAGAAAGCAACAAGGAAGAAAUAUGCUUGCAAAUUCAUUGCAAAAAGGAAGUUGCUGACAAAGGAUAAUGUGGAUGAUGUGAGGAAAGAAAUCGAAAUCAUGCAUCACUUUUAUAGGCACCCCAAUGUCAUCUCAAUCAAAUGAGCUUAUGAGGAUGCUAUGGCAGUUCAUGUUGUGAUGGAAUUGUGUACAGGUGAUGAGCUCUUUGAUAGGAUUGUCAAGCGAGCGCAUUACACAGAGAGAAAGGCAGCCGAGCUUGCUGGGACUAUAGUUGGUGUAAUAGAAGCUAGGGGAAAUUUUCCAUGAUGUGUUUGGAAGCCCAUGCUAUGUUGCGCCUGAAGUUCUGAAUAAGCAUUAUAGUUCAAAAGCAGAUGUUUGGAGUACUUGUGUGAUGAUUUACAUUCUCCUCUGCAUUUUGGGCAGAAACUGAACACGAAAUCUUUGAAGAGGUAUCUCUGAAAGUGCAAAAGAUUUAGUCAGGAAAAUGCUUGUUAAAGACCCCAAAAAGCGGCAAACUGCACAUGGAGUUCUAUGCCAUCCUUGGGUUCAGGUUGAUGGAGUGGCACCGAUAAGCCUCUUGACCCUGCAGUCUUAAGCCGCUUGACACACUUUUCUGAUAUGAACAAGCUUAAGAAAAUGGCUCUUCGAGUAAGUGUUAACUAUGGUAUCAAAAGUCACUGCUACAUAGGGCCUCUGUAUCUGGACCUGUAUGGAUUCUAUUUUAUAUGAUGAUAUACAUUUAAUUUCAAAAUUUAGCACAUAGUAUGCUUUUACAGUUUUAAA